CCUACGGGAGGCUGCAGUGAGGAAUAUUGCACAAUGGGGGAGACCCUGAUGCAGCGACGCCGCGUGAGUGAAGACGUAUUUCGGUAUGUAAAGCUCUAUCAGCAGGGAAGCAAAUGACGGUACCUGUUUCGGAAGCCCCGGCUAAAUACGUGCCAGCAGCCGCGGUAAUGAGUCGGGGGCCAGCGUUAUCCGGAUUUACUGGGUGUAAAGGGGGCGUAGACGGCAGAACAAGUCUGGAGUGAAAUGCCGGUGCUUAACCCCGGAACUGCUUUGGAAACUGUGCAGCUAGAGUGCAGGAGAGGUAAGUGGAAUUCGUAGUGUAGCGGUGAAAUGCGUAGAUAUUAGGAGGAACACCAGUGGCGAAGGCGGCUUACUGGACUGUAACUGACGUUGAGGCUCGAAAGCGUGGGGAGCAAACAGGAUUAGAUACCCGAGUAGUC
rnacentral:rRNA from 1 species